rnacentral:rRNA from 1 species
GGGGAAUAUUGCGCAAUGGGGGGAACCCUGACGCAGCAACGCCGCGUGAGUGAUGAAGGUUUUCGGAUCGUAAAACUCUGUCUUUGGGGAAGAAGAAAGUGACGGUACCCAAGGAGGAAGCCCCGGCUAACUACGUGCCAGCAGCCGCGGUAAUACGUAGGGGGCGAGCGUUGUCCGGAAUUACUGGGCGUAAAGGGUGCGUAGGCGGCCAAUCAAGUCAGAUGUGAAAUACCACGGCUUAACCGUGGGGGUGCAUUUGAAACUGGAUGGCUUGAGUGCAGGAGAGGAAAGUGGAAUUCCUAGUGUAGCGGUGAAAUGCGUAGAGAUUAGGAGGAACACCAGUGUCGAAGGCGGCUUUCUGGACUGUAACUGACGCUGAGGCACGAAAGCGUGGGGAGCGAAC